ensembl:snoRNA
ACUGCCCCCAGAGGCGUUGCAGGUGUGGCUGCAUCUGUGUCACAUUUGUGUCAUUGGGUGGCAGAAAGAAGAGAGGCUUAUCUACGCCCAGUGUUCAGCUGGUGAACGUCUGGAUGAUUAAUAGUCUGACACU